CCGAUUACCCGAUUAAAUUGACUUAAGAUGGCGGACAUCCGCCAUCUUAAGUAUUCGGGGACUCGGGCGGAAAAAGCCCGCCCAAAUUUCGAUUGGGCGGACUUUUCCACCUUACAUGGCGGCACUUAAGUGUACUUACAUGGCGGAAUUCCGCCAUGUAAGUUUUGGGGUUUAUUAAAAACCCCAAAUCAGAACAGAACGCGUCUGUUCUGAUUGAAGUUUCCAAGCGCCGCCGACUGCAACCUCCGCCGACUGCCAACCUCCUCUGACGACGUGCUCGCUCGCCUCCGGUUCCAAGCUCGCCUCCGAUUGCUGGCUCCUCCGUCGUGGUUUGAUCACGCCGCCUCCGUCCUGGUGAGAUAUUUCAAUAAUAUUUGUUAAUUAAUUAAGUUUGUUUAUUGAUUGGUUUUUAGAAUUGAUUUUAUGUUGAAUGUAGUUUGAUUUUAUUGUGAUUUUUUUAGGGUUCUUCGUUAAGUCGCCGUGUCUUCGUCCUUGAUCUCCUAGAAGUGUGAAGGUAUAGUUUUAUUUGUUGUUUUUGUUUGUAUAAUCUUAUUCUUCAAUUUUGUAAUCUAUGGAUUUUUUUUUUUAUCUAUCUUAUGUCUACUUUAAUAUUUGUUUGUAUAUGUUUGUAUAAUCUUAUUCUUCUAUUAUGAUUUUUCAUGUUAUGUUUCAUCUAUUGAUUGAUUGUAUAUUAUACCUAAAAUAGUUUCAUUCUAAAAUAGAAAUAGUUUCAUGUUAUGAAAUAGUUUCAUGUUAUGAAAUAGUUUCAUGUUAUGUUUCAUUCUAAAAUAGAUUAUGUCUACAUGGAAUAAUAUUGAUUGUUUGUAUAAUCAUGUUAUUAUUAGUGUUUUUAGAUUGUCAUUUCUAGUGUUUAUAGGAAUUAGUUACAUAGAUGAUGAAUGUUUAUAUAGAUGUUUAUGUUAAUGUGGAUGUUUAUAUGGAUUUUUAUAUAGUUUAGUUAUGGAUGAAUUUAGAUAUGGAUGUUUAGAUAUGGUUGAUUUUAUUUGAUUUAGAUAUGGAUGUUUAUAUGACUUGUUUAAUAUUUGAUGUCUUGUUUAAUUUAUGAUGUCUACUGUCAUUUAGAUAUGAAAGAUUUAAUAUUCGAUUUAUAUUUUAUGAUUUUAUUUAAUUUUAUGUCUAAUGUUUAUUAGUUGAUUGGGUUUAUAAGUUUACAUGUUUAUAUUGCUUUAUAGUUAUUUAGUAAUUUUUUAAUGUAUUGUGUUAGUUUUUCCGCCUCCUCCGACAGCCGUGCUCGUGUCCGAUUGCCUUGCUCGCCUCGAUUGUUCGUUUUGGUAACAUUUUAGAAAUCGUUUUUGAUGAAAUCGUUUUUUACGAAUUAGUUAUAUUUUGUGUAUAAAUAAAUGUGUAUUUAAAUGUGUAUAAAUAAAUGAGGCACAUUAGUUAAAUAAAUGUGUAUUUAAUUAGAUAAAUAAUGACUGUUUUUAUUAAAUUAAUUAAAUAAAAUAAUGUUUUUAAAUAAUUAAAUAAUUAAUAUUUAUUUAAAUAAAUAAAUUACUGUUUUUAAAUAAUUUUAAAAUUACU
rnacentral:lncRNA from 1 species